rnacentral:rRNA from 1 species
UGGGGAAUAUUGCACAAUGGGCGCAAGCCUGAUGCAGCCAUGCCGCGUGUGUGAAGAAGGCCUUCGGGUUGUAAAGCACUUUCAGCGGGGAGGAAGGCGUUAAGGUUAAUAACCUUGGCGAUUGACGUUACCCGCAGAAGAAGCACCGGCUAACUCCGUGCCAGCAGCCGCGGUAAUACGGAGGGUGCAAGCGUUAAUCGGAAUUACUGGGCGUAAAGCGCACGCAGGCGGUCUGUCAAGUCGGAUGUGAAAUCCCCGGGCUCAACCUGGGAACUGCAUUCGAAACUGGCAGGCUAGAGUCUUGUAGAGGGGGGUAGAAUUCCAGGGGUAGCUGUGAAAUGCGUAGAGAUCUGGAGGAAUACCGGUGGCGAAGGCGGCCCCCUGGACAAAGACUGACGCUCAGGUGCGAAAGCGUGGGGAGCAAACAGG